rnacentral:rRNA from 1 species
GAUGAACGCUGGCGGCGUGCCUAAUACAUGCAAGUAGAACGCUGAAGGAGGAGCUUGCUCUUCUGGAUGAGUUGCGAACGGGUGAGUAACGCGUAGGUAACCUGCCUGGUAGCGGGGGAUAACUAUUGGAAACGAUAGCUAAUACCGCAUGACAACAGUUAUUGCAUGAUAACUGUUUAAAAGGGGCAACUGCUCCACUACCAGAUGGACCUGCGUUGUAUUAGCUAGUUGGUGAGGUAACGGCUCACCAAGGCGACGAUACAUAGCCGACCUGAGAGGGUGAUCGGCCACACUGGGACUGAGACACGGCCCAGACUCCUACGGGAGGCAGCAGUAGGGAAUCUUCGGCAAUGGACGGAAGUCUGACCGGGCAACGCCGCGUGAGUGAAGAAGGGUUUCGGAUCGUAAAGCUCUGUUGCAAGAGAAGAACGAGUGUGAGAGUGGAAAGUUCACACUGUGACGGUAUCUUAACAGAAAGGGACGGCUAACUACGUG